CUGUCUGAAUAUGGGGGGACCAUCCUCCAAGGCUAAAUACUCCUGACUGACCGAUAGUGAACCAGUACCGUGAGGGAAAGGCGAAAAGAACCCCGGCGAGGGGAGUGAAAAAGAACCUGAAACCGUGUACGUACAAGCAGUGGGAGCACCCUUUGGGGUGUGACUGCGUACCUUUUGUAUAAUGGGUCAGCGACUUAUAUUCUGUAGCAAGGUUAACCGUAUAGGGGAGCCGYAGGGAAACCGAGUCUUAACCGGGCGUUAAGUUGCAGGGUAUAGACCCGAAACCCGGUGAUCUAGCCAUGGGCAGGUUGAAGGUUGGGUAACACUAACUGGAGGACCGAACCGACUAAUGUUGAAAAAUUAGCGGAUGACCUGUGGCUGGGGGUGAAAGGCCAAUCAAAC
rnacentral:rRNA from 1 species